rnacentral:rRNA from 1 species
UGGGGAAUCUUGGACAAUGGGCGAAAGCCUGAUCCAGCCAUGCCGCGUGGAUGAUGAAGGCCCUAGGGUUGUAAAAUCCUUUCGUUGGGGACGAUAAUGACGGUACCCAAAGAAGAAGCCCCGGCUAACUUCGUGCCAGCAGCCGCGGUAAUACGAAGGGGGCUAGCGUUGCUCGGAAUCACUGGGCGUAAAGCGCACGUAGGCGGCUUCUUAAGUCAGGGGUGAAAGCCUGGAGCUCAACUCCAGAACUGCCUUUGAUACUGAGAAGCUCGAGUCCGGGAGAGGUGAGUGGAACUGCGAGUGUAGAGGUGAAAUUCGUAGAUAUUCGCAAAGAACACCAGUGGCGAAAGGCGGCUCACUGGCCCGGUACUGACGCUGAGGUGCGAAAGCGUGGGGAGCAAACAGGAUUAGAUACUCUGGUAGUCCACGCCGUAAACGAUGAAUGCUAGCCGUUGGCGGGCUUGCCCGUCAGUGGCGCAGCU